AAGUCGUAACAAGGUUUCCGUAGGUGAACCUGCGGAAGGAUCAUUAACACGUAUCCAAACGUUAAACCCCCCUGUGAACCUUCAGUCGUACUCGUACGUCCGUUAGAAAAAGCAGCAAUCCCUGGUAAAUCAUCGCCGAACAGUUUUCGAUUCAGGGACGUCUGCAAGGAGCGUGCAUGUUGUGCGUGUAAGUGGCCUGGCAUCCCCAAGCAGUUAGUGUCUGAAAGUGUCACUAACGUUAGUGGCCCUGGGUGCAAGCCCCCUUAUCACACCCCUGCUCUAUCUAUGGUGAUCCUGCGGGAAGUCCUGCGGUCGAACGCCGAAACCGAACAACUGUUAACAAUGGAUAUCUUGGUUCUC
rnacentral:misc_RNA from 1 species